rnacentral:lncRNA from 1 species
AUGUCCCAAACCCAUGCCCUUGAAUGUUCAUAUCCCAAAUCCAUGUCCUGGAAUGCCCAUGUCCCAGUUCUGUGUCUCUCCAUGCCCCAAAUCCGUGUCCUUCAACGUCCAUGUUCAUGUCCCAAUUCCUGUCCUCCAAUGCCCAUGUCCCAAAUCUGUGUCCUUCAAUGCCCAUGUCCCAAAUCCAUGUUCCUCAAUGUCCAUGUCCCUGUUCUGUGUCCUUCAAUGCCCACGUCCCAAAUCCAUGUUCCUCAAUAUCCAUGUCCCAAAUCCAUGUUCCUCAAUGUCCAUGUCCCAGUUCUGUGUCCUUCAAUGACAAUGUCCCAAAUCCAUGCCCUUGAAUGUCCAUGUCCCAAAUCCAUGCCCUGGAAUGCCCAUGUCCCAAUUCUGUGUCUCUCCAUGUCCCAAAUCCGUGUCCUUCAACGUCCAUGUUCAUGUCCCAAUUCCUGUCCUCCAAUGCCCAUGUCCCAAAUCUGUGUCCUUCAAUGCCCAUGUCCCAAAUCCAUGUUCAUCAAUGUCCAUGUCCCUGUUCUGUGUCCUUCAAUGUCCAUGUCCCAAAUCCAUGUUCAUCAAUGUCCAUGUCCCAAAUCUGUGUCCUUCAAUGUCCAUGUCCCAAACCUGUGUCCUGGAAUGUCCACGUCCCUGUUCUGUGUCCUUCAGUGUCCAUGUCCCAAAUCCGUGUCCUUGAAGGCCAAGUCCCAAAUCCAUGUCCUAAAAUGUCCAUGUCCCAAUUCUGUGUCUCUCCAUGUCCCAAAUCAGUGUCCUUCAACAUCCGUGUCCAUGUCCCAAAUCCUGUCCUUCAAUGUUCAUGUCCCAAAUCCAUGCCCUGGAACGUCCAUGUCCUAAAUCAACGUUCUUCAAGGUCCAUGUCCUAAAUCCUGUCCUUUAAUGUCCAUGUCCCAGAUCCAUGUUCCUCAAUGUCCAUGUCCCAGAUCCGUGUCCUCGAAUGUCCAGGUCCCAGUUCUGUGUCUCUCCAUGUCCCAAAUCUGUGUCCUUCAAUGUCCACGUCCCAAAUCCCUGUCCUGGAAUGUCCGUGUCCCAAAUCCGUGUCCUGGAAUGGGUUCCAACAAAGGUGGGACCAGAGGAUGUUCCCGAGGUUUUCCUGCUCUUGGCGCUUGUCCAGCUUGGAAAAACUUGGCCUUUCUCACCCUCCAGCCCCUCCAGAGCAAAACUCACCCAACAGCAUCUUCUGGAAGCUCUGCAGUGGUGAAACCCUGGGCAGGGGGAAUUUCAGAAUUCUGUGCUGGCAGCACUGAGCAGGGGAGAGCUCUGCUCCUGACCUGGGACAUGGAGAAACUUCCAGAUUGGGGUGGCAGAACUGGGACCAUGGUGUGCAGUUUGAACAGGAGUGUCAGACACCACGGGGGAACUCACAGCUUAAGGGUUUAGGAUACAGCAACAAAUACAAAGCAAGGUGGAGGUUUCAGGGUGGAGGUUUGUCCUUCACCUUCUUCUCCGUGGGUUUGGGUGAUUUUGUGUGGCUGGACAGGAAAUUCCACAUUGUGGGCCAGGGGUGGUUGGUUAUUGGAUUAAAAGUGAAAAUAAUUUAGGUGGCUUUUCUUAAUUGGACAGUUUAUCCUUAAAAUGCCUUGUAAAGAGAGAGAGAUGGGGCUCCAUUUUCAUUUAGGGCUCCAUUUUCAUUUAGGGCUCCAUUUUCAUUUAGGGCUCCAUUUUUAGUUUUUUAGCUUGAAGUGCUGCAGAACUCACAAUUUGUAACAUAGAUAAGAACCAAUGAACCAAAUAAGAACCAAAACCAUAGUUAAGAACCAAAUAAACCAAAUCUGAGUCCCAGCCAGAAAUUCCCUCUCACACAUUUAAUCCCAACUCUGGAAAAAGAGGAUAAAACCUCAACACUGCAUCUCCCACCAGAGCUGCUCCUGAACCUUCCAGACACAUCAGCCUCACCUGCAGAGGCAGAAUCCCAACCCUGGCUGCCAACAUUUCCAUCAGAAACCCAAAAAAAAAGGCAGGAAAAAGCAGCAAAAAGCAUCUCCAAAGGCCAGGGCUCUCUGCCUGCGAGCCCAGGAAAUGUGGAAGGCAUUAAAGGCUCACUUUCCCUGGGCAGAGAGGGAACAUGGACCUACAACCAACAGCCUGGAGGCAUUUCAGCAGCUCCAGCUCCACAGGAGCUUCUCUUUACGAUGAUUCUUUCAGUCCACUGGGAAUCAGCAAGGCCAGGAAGCUGUAAAUUCAGCUUAAAAGGGAGAAAAGCAAAUAAAUGCUCAAAGAGGGGGGAAAAAAUGGGAAUCACUGGAGGCUUGUUUGUUUGUGAUAAAGCUCAGCUGUACACAAGCUGUCCCAGGCUGGUGACAUUUCCCUGCAGUGGCACCACCAGCAAGGGGGUCUGUCAGCAUUUGAUCAGCAGCAACUGCUCCCAGGGCUUGAUGAGGCACAAAAAGCUCCUUCUCCUCGGGAGGGGAAGGCUCUGAGUCACAGCAAAUUAUUGGGAUUUGAAAAACCACAUCACACAAAGCGGGGUUUGGGGCUGGGGAGAGGACGUGGCACCCAAAAUCUGGAGUUCUCAGGGGAAAACGGAUCCCCAAAAAACUUUUCAGGAACAAACUGGGGAACGCCAGCGUGGAUAUUACGGCUCCAUAGGACAGGAGUUGAUAAAAUGAGGGAAAUAAUCCAAUUAGCCAACAGCAAACUCAUCCUGUGUCCUUAUAUCUAUAUAAAAUAAAAGCACAAAAUUAAACCCUAAGGACUCCAAGGUGGGCAGAGCUUUGCAGAGAAAAUCCCUGGAGAGGAGGAAGAUGGGAUUGAGGGAAUAAAGGCAGAGGCUGCCUGCAGUGCUGACCAGUCCUUGGCCACAGCCCCACAGGAAAUUCAGGAUUGAGCCCCCAGGGCUGGGGACACCGGGGAGAACUCCCGGAGUUCUGAGGUUUCCAAAAAACAGGGGAGAAGCAGAGCCAGGGCUGGGCCACGUGCACCCCCAUAAAUCCCAUCAUCCCUCCCUGGGGGAUGGGGUUUUAUUGUGCCAGCCUCCCUGGAUGGGAUAAACUCACAUUCCAGGAGACUGAUCUCACACAGAGCUCCCCAUCCUGCACACAGAGCCCAGGGCAGGGGCAGGAGGCUCCCAGAACCCUCACCAGGGUCACCCCAAAACUUCCCACCACGAGUCCUUCACUCCUGGAGGGGCUGGGCUGGGAUUCCCAGAUCUGCCUGGAAUGGAAUUCCCAGAUUGGCUGUGGCUGCCCCUGGAUCCCUGGCAGUGCCCAAGGCCAGGCUGGAUCCACGUGGAACAGUGGGAAUUGUCCCUGAACAGGGAUGGGUGGGAAUGAGAUGGAAUUUAGGAUCCUUCCAACCCAAACCAACCAAAAGUUGGACAAUAAUAAUAAUAACAAUAUUACAUAUUAGAAAAAAUAAGAUAUGUAAUAUAAUAAUAUAAAAUAAAAAAUAAAUA